GUGAGGAAUAUUGGUCAAUGGGCGGAAGCCUGAACCAGCCAUCCCGCGUGAAGGAAGGCGGCCCUAUGGGUUGUAAACUUCUUUAGUACAUGAAGAACAGGAUCUACGCGUAGGUUUAUGACGGUAAUGUACAAAAAAGCAUCGGCUAACUCCGUGCCAGCAGCCGCGGUAAUACGGAGGAUGCGAGCGUUAUCCGGAUUCAUUGGGUUUAAAGGGUACGUAGGUGGGCCUGUAAGUCAGUGGGAAAAAUCUGCCGCUUAACGGUAGGGGUGCCAAUGAUACUGCGGGGCUUGAGUACAGUUGAGGUAGGUGGAAUGUGUAGUGUAGCGGUGAAAUGCAUAGAUAUUACACAGAACUCCGAUUGCGAAGGCAUCUUACUAAGCUGAAACUGACACUGAUGUACGAAAGCGUGGGGAUCGAACAGGAUUAGAUACCCUUGUAGUCC
rnacentral:rRNA from 1 species